UUUAGGUCCUUUUCGAUGCAGAUGGGAAGGAGUGGUGUCGUCGUGCCUGAUCAAUCCAGCUUUUUCUUUAAAAAAAAAUAACCGGUGUGUAUUAAUCAUUUUUUAUAAUCAUCUGUAUGUUAUUUGAAAUAUAUUUAACGAAUGUUGUGCUCUUCACAAUCUGACGGCCUAAUAUCAUUUUACAGUGUGUUUCUGAUUUCGCGCACUUUUGGGUCCUUUUUGAUGCUGAUGUGAAGGAGUGGUGUCCUCGUCUGAUCAAUCCAUCUUUUCUCUAAAAUAAACGUGUGUUACUGAUUUCGCGCACUUUUGGGUCCUUUUUGAUGCUGAUGUGAAGGAGUGAUGUCCUGUCUGAUUAAUCCAUCUUUUCUCUAAAAUAACCGUGUGUUACUGAUUUCGCGCACUUUUGGGUCCUUUUCGAUGCUGAUGUGAAGGAGUGGUGUCCCUGUCUGAUCAAUCCAUCUUUUCUCUAAAAUAAACGUGUGUUACUGAUUUCGCGCACUUUUGGGUCCUUUUCGAUGCUGAUGUGAAGGAGUGGUGUCCUGUCUGAUCAAUCCAUCUUUUCUUUAAAAUAACCAAGCAUGUUGCUUCGGGUUCACAUUUCUUCUACCAACAUCAGGAGGGUAGAGCUGCCUAAAAGGCCUGAGUCUGUGGACGAUUUGAAGUCUUUCCUUGGCGAGAAAUUGCAGCUGAAAUCUGGAUUUUCUCUACAAUUUGAAGACCCAGACUUUAACAAUGAACUUUGUAACUUGAAUGACAUCCAAGAAUUGCCAGCAGCAAAGGCAACCUUAAAGAUUCUGUGGGAAGAAGCAUCUCCUGCACUAACCGAUGCAAGUUCAGUGUCCUCACUUGAUACAGCAAGCAUGACAAGUUGUCAAAGUGAUGUCCAAAUCCCUGAAACAUCUGUGUCAAGAAAUCUCAGAAGUGUUGAACAGUGGCCCUCUACUUUUAACAUACCUGCUUUUUCUCUUGAUGUGGAACUCAGGCUGCGUAAAGCCAAUGAGAUAUACCAACAGACAAAGAAGCCUCUGAGUGUACCCAGGGAUAUGAAGUGUGAGAUUCUGGACAAGAUUGCGCAGGCAAUUUUUGAAAUUAAAGCCUACCCCGAUGCCUAUGAGAUCCAGUCAGUUGCCUCUGCUCUAGUAGAAAAACAUCCUUGCCUUAAAGAACCUGGCAAACGCACAGGCUGGGAUGGAUGGAUUAUGAGUAUAAAGUUUAAGCUUAGCAAUUAUCGAGCUAAAUUGAGAGAGGCUGGUUGUUCAGAAGUUAGUGUUAACACAAAAAGGAAAUCACAUGAGAGUAUGAUGGCCACCAUUAAAAAGCCUAAAAGAGCAGAGGUGAACUUUUUACCAGACCAUCCUGAUGGCCAAACAGAUGAUUCACUUG